rfam:Schistosoma mattheei strain Denwood, Zambia genome assembly, scaffold: SMTD_scaffold0005655
GAACAUCUCGCUUUGGUGGUACAUAUAGUAAAAUUGGAACGACACAGAGAAGAUUAGCAUGUCCCCCGCGCAAAGGUGAUACACAAAGUCAUGAAGCGUUCCAUUUUUUU